AGGUCACUGACAUUAGAUACCCCCUGUAGUCCAGGGUGUAAACGCUGCAGACUUGGUGUUGGAAGUCCUUUGGGGGCAUUCAGUGCCGGAGAGAAGUUGUUAAGUCUGCUACUUGGGGAGUACGUCCGCAAGGAUGAAACUUAAAGGAAUUGGCGGGGGAGCACCGCAACGGGAGGAGCGUGCGGUUUAAUUGGAUUCAACACCGUAAAACUCACCAGGGAAGACUGUUACAUGAAGGCCGAGAUGAAGACUCUGCUAGAUUUUCAG
rnacentral:rRNA from 1 species